GGAAAGUUACAUAAAAUGUUGAUUUCAGUCACAGAAACACAUAUCAGACAAAAACAAAUUAAACGGAACAAUAACUCUCUUCCUUUCCCCUCCAGAACUACUGAUCAAGUGAGAGAAAAUGCUUUGAGUAGAUUGCUGUCCAGGGAUACCUAAAUAUUAUGUAAAUUUACAAAAUACAUUAUUUGUUUUGUUUUAUUCCCCAUUAUUCCUCCCAAUGAAGAGCUUUUGGAGGAUUAAAA